UACGUAGGGCGCAAGCGUUGUCCGGAAUUAUUGGGCGUAAAGAGCUCGUAGGCGGCUUGUUGCGUCGGUUGUGAAAGCCCGGGGCUUAACCCCGGGUCUGCAGUCGAUACGGGCAGGCUAGAGUGUGGUAGGGGAGAUCGGAAUUCCUGGUGUAGCGGUGAAAUGCGCAGAUAUCAGGAGGAACACCGGUGGCGAAGGCGGAUCUCUGGGCCGUAACUGACGCUGAGGAGCGAAAGCAUGGGGAGCGAACAGG
rnacentral:rRNA from 1 species